GACGGAGGGGGCAAGCGUUGUCCGGAAUCACUGGGCGUAAAGGGCGCGUAGGUGGCUUCGUGCGUCGGUGCUGAAAGCGCCGGGCUUAACCCGGCGAGGCGUGCCGAUACGACGAGGCUCGAGGCAGGGAGAGGGUAGCGGAAUUCCGGGUGUAGUGGUGAAAUGCGCAGAUAUCAGGAGGAACACCGGUGGCGAAGGCGGGUCUCUGGGCCGAUACUGACGCUGAGGAGCGAAAGCGUGGGGAGCGAACAGG
rnacentral:rRNA from 1 species